GACGAACGCUGGCGGCGUGCUUAACACAUGCAAGUCGAGCGGAAAGGCCACUUCGGUGGUACUCGAGCGGCGAACGGGUGAGUAACACGUGAGUAAUCUGCCCCUGGCUUUGGGAUAGCCACCGGAAACGGUGAUUAAUACCGGAUACGACCACUUCUCGCAUGGGAUGGUGGUGGAAAGUUUUUUCGGCCAGGGAUGUGCUCGCGGCCUAUCAGCUUGAUGGUGAGGUAAUGGCUCACCAUGGCUUCGACGGGUAGCCGGCCUGCGAGGGUGAACGGUCACACUGGGACUGUGACACGGCCCAGACUCCUACGGGAGGCAGCAGUGGGGAAUAUUGGACAAUGGGCGGAAGCCUGAUCCAGCAACGCCGCGUGAGGGAUGACGGCCUUCGGGUUGUAAACCUCUUUCAGCAGGGACGAAGCGCAAGUGACGGUACCUGCAGAAGAAGCACCGGCCAACUACGUGCCAGCCGCCGCAGUAA
rnacentral:rRNA from 1 species